UGGCUCAGGACGAACGCUGGCGGUAUGCUUAACACAUGCAAGUCGAACGAGAAGGAAGAGCUUGCUCUUCCUGAAAGUGGCGAACGGGUGAGUAACGCGUGGGUAACUUACCCUUUGGAAAGGAAUAGCCUCGGGAAACUGGGAGUAAUGCCUUAUAAGAUACGUUUGUCGCAUGGCAUUUGUAUUAAACGCUCCGGCGCCAUAGGAUGGACCCGCGUCCCAUUAGCUAGUUGGUGAGAUAACAGCUCACCAAGGCCACGAUGGGUAACCGGUCUGAGAGGGCGAACGGUCACACUGGAACUGAGACACGGUCCAGACUCCUACGGGAGGCAGCAGUGGGGAAUAUUGCGCAAUGGGGGCAACCCUGACGCAGCAAUACCGCGUGAGUGAAGAAGGUUUUCGGAUCGUAAAGCUCUGUUAUUGGGGAAGAAAAAAAGACGGUACCCAAGAAGAAAGUUCCGGCUAACUACGUGCCAGCAGCCGCGGUAAUACGUAGGGAACAAGCGUUGUCCGGAUUUACUGGGCGUAAAGGGCACGCAGGCGGUUUUUUAAGUCAGAUGUGAAAGGCCACAGCUCAACUGUGGACAUGCAUUUGAAACUGAAAGACUUGAGUAUUGGAGAGGCAAGUGGAAUUCCUAGUGUAGCGGUGAAAUGCGUAGAUAUUAGGAGGAACACCGGUGGCGAAGGCGGCUUGCUGGACAAAUACUGACGCUGAUGGCUCAGGACGAACGCUGGCGGUAUGCUUAACACAUGCAAGUCGAACGAGAAGGAAGAGCUUGCUCUUCCUGAAAGUGGCGAACGGGUGAGUAACGCGUGGGUAACUUACCCUUUGGAAAGGAAUAGCCUCGGGAAACUGGGAGUAAUGCCUUAUAAGAUACGUUUGUCGCAUGGCAUUUGUAUUAAACGCUCCGGCGCCAUAGGAUGGACCCGCGUCCCAUUAGCUAGUUGGUGAGAUAACAGCUCACCAAGGCCACGAUGGGUAACCGGUCUGAGAGGGCGAACGGUCACACUGGAACUGAGACACGGUCCAGACUCCUACGGGAGGCAGCAGUGGGGAAUAUUGCGCAAUGGGGGCAACCCUGACGCAGCAAUACCGCGUGAGUGAAGAAGGUUUUCGGAUCGUAAAGCUCUGUUAUUGGGGAAGAAAAAAAGACGGUACCCAAGAAGAAAGUUCCGGCUAACUACGUGCCAGCAGCCGCGGUAAUACGUAGGGAACAAGCGUUGUCCGGAUUUACUGGGCGUAAAGGGCACGCAGGCGGUUUUUUAAGUCAGAUGUGAAAGGCCACAGCUCAACUGUGGACAUGCAUUUGAAACUGAAAGACUUGAGUAUUGGAGAGGCAAGUGGAAUUCCUAGUGUAGCGGUGAAAUGCGUAGAUAUUAGGAGGAACACCGGUGGCGAAGGCGGCUUGCUGGACAAAUACUGACGCUGA
rnacentral:rRNA from 1 species